UACGGGGGGGGCAAGCGUUGUUCGGAAUUACUGGGCGUAAAGGGUUCGUAGGUGGCCUGCUAAGUCGGACGUGAAAUCCCUCGGCUCAACCGGGGAACUGCGUCCGAUACUGGUGGGCUUGAGUGCAGGAGAGGAACGCGGAAUUCCAGGUGUAGCGGUGAAAUGCGUAGGUAUCUGGAGGAACACCGGUGGCGAAGGCGGCGUUCUGGACUGCAACUGACACUGAGGAACGAAAGCCAGGGGAGCAAACGGG
rnacentral:rRNA from 1 species